UGUGAUUAGAUGGGCAUCCAUUCUGGAGACAGCACAGAAGUGAUGGGCCGAUUGGUUCCCAUCUGAGCUGUGAAAGUUGAUAACAAAUGGACAGAAUUGAGGGUUGUGGUUUGAUUAGUGUCGGACCACUCUACUGAUUAACAGGAUGCCAACAUUAUUGACGUCAGCAUGUACUGCUCAUUUCUUAUUGUCCUUGAGAAGGUGGCACCCAGAAGGAAAAACUAGCAAAGCUGGUAGUGAGCUGCCAACUUAACCUAGCACAGUCCACGGCAGUAUGUGCGCCCACAGUGCAGUUUCUGGAGCGCAGCAACAACGAGGGAACAUCACUACAGUUUCAAUUCACCCUGAUUUGUGCCUUAAAAUCAUUAGGCAAUAGAUGUAUGAGCAGAUAUACACCAUUCAGGCCCUGGAUGUGAGUUUGUUCGCUGAGCUGGAAGUCUCUAGGAUACAGGGCAGUGAGAAGGGAACAGAGCCACUAAUCCUUUCAAACGGCAAACUUAGCCCUGAACUGCUUCCUGGUCUUGGCAUUUCUGAAUGAAUGGAGGCACCUCAAGAAGUUGAACACCUCUCCUAAAUCACCUCUUCACCU